UCCAAUCAUAAGAUGUCAAAAGUAGCUAGUACUUGAGCAAGCAAGAAUCUCAGCGUUGCUGCAGAGAGGACUUCAACCUGAGCCUGCACAUACAUACUUUCUUCAAUCGCCACCUACAUACAAACAAGAGGUUUUCUUUUGUGCACUCCAGGUGUAGUGCACUGGCAUCCAUCGACUGUGGGGAAGCAUUAUACUGGUCGCAUCUUCUCUUAAGCAAAUGAGCAACGCACAGCCGAAGACGACGAGUGCAGGUGGGGGGAGGAGGAUGCACCAUCGAAUCAAGUUCAUUAUGUUAUCAGAUGGUGAGGGGAUGCUGAAAUAUGUGAAACAGGUUUGGUGUGCAGCUACUGGUUUUGCUGCUGCAGCAAUAGAUGUGAGACCUUGGAACACCAUUUCACUGAAGUGGGAGUGUGAGCUUUACCAUAUCAGCUCAGGAGAGUGAAGGGAGAAGAAGCAAUCCAUUGAAGCAUAGUUAAGGAAGUGGGAAGAGAGCAUCAGCUGGUUGGUACUGGAUGUCUGAGCAGCUACUUGUUUUGCUGCUGCAGCAAUAGAAGUGAGACCUUGGAACACCAUUUCAGUGAAGUGGGAGUGUGAGCUUUACCAUAUCAGCUCAGGAGAGUGAAGGGAGAAGAAGCACUCCAUUGAAGCAUAGUUAAGGAAGUGUGAAGAGAGCAGCAGCUGGUUGGUACUGGAUGUCUGAGCUUGCUUUUGGCCAUUUACUAUGGGAAACAGUCUGUUUGUACACAGAUCUGUACGCCAAAAACACUAUUUACCACUGCUACUGAUACGGCUACACUGUGCUUUCA